CGCUGCUGUUCCCUGUGUUCACUUUGGCCCAGGCUGACAAAGAGCCCCUUGUCUGGGGCUUUGCCAUCUCAGUGGCAGAAGGUAUACAACCUUGUCAAUUGCCACGGACAGAAUGACAAUCAGCAAGAUGUAGUCCUUGCUCUCAAGAGGAAGUCAAGGCAGAAAACCUGUGUAUGUGAAGAACCAGAACCGUAUACCAUAAAAACAUGCGUUAAGAUGACAGGAUGAUGGAGUUAGCAUAUGACAGCUAACAUCUCUUGGCACACUUGGAAGUACACCCCCUGGGAUAACUCAAUACUCCUUAAAACAGCCCUCUUGGAGCAACAAACCCGGAGGGCCAACUCUGUGCCUGGCGGACGCUGGAAGGUUCCCGAUGAUUGAUCCUCCCGCGAAGGGGCAGGGGAAAGACAUGAAAGAGGAAGGCCAGUACUCCUACCCUGCCACACAAGAAGCAGUGGGAAUGAACAAGACAUUGGAGACGUCCUUUUCCACAAACUUCAAAACCUGGGAGACGACUGGAUCAAUAAAUUGUCAUUUUGAAAGCAACUAAAGGACAGGAAGGUGAUGAUAAUCAGUGGGGUGCAUGGGUUUGUCAGAUACAAAUCUUAUAACACUGGAACAAUUGCUUUCCAUCCCAAGAUAACUGGCUUUGGCUGGGGGCCAACAAAAAGUAGAUUUAGGGGAAUAUUGAGGUUCAACGAAGAAAUCACGCUCACUUGAGCUUUCUCUGAAUCCUAACUCGGGGAAGUGGCAGCAAACGCCCUAGUUCUUCUAAAUGAGGGGAGUGGUGGGGGGAAAAAGAGGAACGAGAAACUGCAGUUUGCUCAUCUUGAGACCGUGGCUGAGUUCGCUUCCUUUCCACCUAAGGUGAAAUUCUUCCACUGAGGCAGGGUUGACCUGGGGCUGCCAAGUUGUAGAGGAAGAAUGUGUAUUGAUUGUGUUAAUGCAUUUUACAAGGAAAGAGAUGCCCGGGAUUGCUCUGAAUCUGUUUUAUGGUAUAACUGUUUCUUAGAGCAAAGUAUUUUAUUUUUAAGCAUCAGCUGUGCAGAGCCUGGUGGUCCUCAGCUGCCUCAGGCAAGUAUUUUGUUUUCCGAACUAGAAACCAAGAAAAUUUAAGGCAGAUGCGCAACCUUCCUCCUCUGUGAGCUCCCUCCCGCCCACCAGCCCAGCCCAGCCCCGAUCCGGGGUGAGACAGUGAGGAACACUCUUGGUCUGGG